UAUAAGACUGGGAUAACUUCGGGAAACCGGAGCUAAUACCGGAUAAUAUAUUGAACCGCAUGGUUCAAUAGUGAAAGACGGUUUUGCUGUCACUUAUAGAUGGAUCCGCGCCGCAUUAGCUAGUUUGUAAGGUAACGGCUUACCAAGGCAACGAUGCGUAGCCGACCUGAGAGGGUGAUCGGCCACACUGGAACUGAGACACGGUCCAGACUCCUACGGGAGGCAGCAGCC
rnacentral:rRNA from 1 species